GAUUAUUCGAUCCUUCGACUUAAAUUUUUUGGAUGCAGAGAGGAUCCGGUUCCCAUACAGAAAAAGGGAAGAAAAGAUAGAUCGGGAGCCAGCUGUCUAGUUCCUGGCGGGCACUUGGGACAUAAAAUCGAAAUUAAACAUAAAUCAACUUCGAUCGCACCGAAUGAUUCAGUUUUUCUAAUUUAACGGGUUUAAUUUGAAACGAACCGCAAGCUAAAUAAAUUUAAUUUCUCUUCUUAAUAUUUGAAACCGAUUCUAAACCGGACAACAUGAUAUACAAAAUAUUUAAUUUAGUUAGCAAAUUAAAUGUUGGCGUAUUGGUUAUUUGGUGAAGGUCAUACAUGGAUUUAAAUUUGGUGAAGGUCAACAUAAUUUACUACGGUUUCCACCCUCGAAUCGAACCGAACCGAACCACAAUAACCCCAACCACACUAAACUGUACCCAGCCCCGGUUCCUUUUAAGCUUUUUUUUUUUUUGGGUCGAGAUCCCGGUUCCUAUUAAGCUAAAACUAAACUGAGAAGGAAGAAGAAAUUAAAGGGGGGCGUAC
rnacentral:lncRNA from 1 species